GACGGAGGAUGCAAGUGUUAUCCGGAAUCACUGGGCGUAAAGCGUCUGUAGGUGGUUUAAAAAGUCCACUGUUAAAAAUUGAAGCUUAACUUCAAAGAUGCCGUGGAAACUUUUAAACUUGAGUAUGGUAGGGGUAGAGGGAAUUUCCAGUGGAGCGGUGAAAUGCGUAGAUAUUGGAACGACCACCAAUGGCGAAGGCACUCUACUGGGCCGACACUGACACUGAGAGACGAAAGCUAGGGGAGCGAAUGGG
rnacentral:rRNA from 1 species